UCUUUUGCAUUAAUUGGUCUACGUGAUUACAGACUUGUAAUAGCAGCAUGCGUCGGUUAAACCGUAGGCUGCUAAUGCAAGCCCGUAUUCACUGAAGAAAUAUCUGCCACGUAUAA
rnacentral:precursor_RNA from 10 species